AUUCCGGUUGAUCCUGCCAGAGGUCACUGCUAUCAGUAUUCGAUUAAGCCAUGCGAGUCAAAUGUUCUUCGUGAACAUGGCGUACUGCUCAGUAACACGUGGAUAAUCUGCCCUAAGGUCAGGUAUAACUCCGGGAAACUGGUGAUAAUCCCUGAUAAAUCAUAGAUACUGGAAUGUUCUGUGAUUCAAAGCUCCGGUGCCUUAGGAUGAAUCUGCGGUCUAUCAGGUAGUAGUGGGUGUAGUGUACCUACUAGCCUACGACGGAUACGGGUUGUGAGAGCAAGAGCCCGGAGAUGGAUUCUGAGACAUGAAUCCAGGCCCUACGGGGCGCAGAGGCGCGAAAACUUUACAAUGCGGGAAACCGCGAUAAGGGGAUACUGAGUGCCAGCAUAUUAUGUUGGCUGUCCAUAUGUAUAAAUAGCAUGUGUUAGCAAGGGCCGGGCAAGACCGGUGCCAGCCGCCGCGGUAACACCGGCGGCCCGAGUGGUGGCCACUAUUAUUGGGUCUAAAGGGUCCGUAGCCGGUUUGAUCAGUCUUCCGGGAAAUCUGACAGCUCAAAUGUUAGGCUUCUGGGGGAUACUGUCAGACUUGGGACCGGGAGAGGUAAGAGGUACUACAGGGGUAGGAGUGAAAUCUUGUAAUCCUUGUGGGACCACCAGUGGCGAAGGCGUCUUACCAGAACGGGUCCGACGGUGAGGGACGAAAGCUGGGGGCACGAACCGGAUUAGAUACCCGGGUAGUCCCAGCCGUAAACGAUGCUCGCUAGGUGUCUGGGACGGUGCGACCGUUUCAGGUGCCGCAGGGAAGCCGUGAAGCGAGCCACCUGGGAAGUACGGCCGCAAGGCUGAAACUUAAAGGAAUUGGCGGGGG
rnacentral:rRNA from 1 species